AGUUUGAUCCUGGCUCAGAUUGAACGCUGGCGGAAUGCUUUACACAUGCAAGUCGAGCGGCAGCGCGGGGCAACCUGGCGGCGAGCGGCGAACGGGUGAGUAAUACAUCGGAACGUACCCAGUUGGUGGGGGAUACGCCCGGCGAAAGCCGGAUUAAUACCGCAUACGACCUGGAGGGUGAAAGGGGGGGAUCGCAAGACCUCUCGCAGUUGGAGCGGCCGAUGGCGGAUUAGCUAGUUGGUAGGGUAAAGGCCUACCAAGGCGACGAUCCGUAGCUGGUCUGAGAGGAUGAUCAGCCACACUGGAACUGAGACACGGUCCAGACUCCUACGGGAGGCAGCAGUGGGGAAUAUUGCGCAAUGGGGGAAACCCUGACGCAGCCACGCCGCGUGAGUGAUGAAGGCCUUCGGGUUGUAAAGCUCUGUCGGGAGGGACGAAGGGAGCAAUCUCUGACGGUACCUCGUAAGAAAGCACCGGCUAACUCUGUG
rnacentral:rRNA from 1 species